UUUCUCUCCCUUCAUCCCUAGGUAUUUAAAAUGUGUCUUUGCAUUUCCUGCAUAACUGGAUCCUAGCUCAUUAAAGAUCUCCUGUGCUUUCCAGUGCCCCAGCAAAAUGUGGCUGCUCCAAAGAGCAGAGAUGCUGCAGAGGAGGCAGUGUCAGGAGUGUCUGAGAGAGAGAGCAUGCCUUCAAAUCAGUGACUUCAAAUGGAAUCCAAGAGAGAGUUAGUUCUGUUUGAGGGAGAUGGUUGUAACCUGUUAAGAGCCAGGUCAGGGAGCAAAAUCUGGAAUGCAUCCCUAUCUGCAAACAGAGGUGUCUGCAUGUGGCUUGCUGGGGCUGUAGCUGGCACAAGCACCUAAAGCUUCCAUUGAGAUGGAUCCACCUCAAGCAAAGACCUUUUCCUCCUGGCUUAUGAAGCUGCAACACCAGUGAAAGCUGGGCAUGAAAA